rnacentral:rRNA from 1 species
AUGGAUUUCUCCGGCGGGGGCGGCGGCGCGACGCUGUCGGAGAUGUACCAGAGCGCGCGGCGGCUGCUGCUGUCGGCCCGCGACGGCGUGGCCCGCGUCGAGCGGCUCGCCUCGGCGCCCGCCUCCUCCUCCUACUCCGCCUCGGCGCCGCUCGUCGGCGCGCCGGACCCGGCGGGCGCCGAGGCGGUGCGCAGGGAGGUGGCGCAGAUCCAGGGCCUCUGCGCGCAGAUGGACCGCCUCUGGCGCUCCAUCCCCGCCAAGGGCCAGCGCGACCUCUGGAAGAGAAAAGUGGAGCAGCUAUCUGAAGAGGUUGAUUCAUUGAAGGAAACCCUCGACAAGCACUCAUUGCGGCAACGAAAGCGGAUUUUGGAAGCCAAGGAAAGGGCGGAGCUAUUUGAGAGAGCUAAUGGUGAGUCGUCGCAUGUCCUUCAAAUAUUUGACGACGAAGCCCAGGCAAUGCAAUCGGCCCGCAGCUCUUCUCGAAUGCUUGACGAAGCCUUUGAGACAGGAGUGGCCAUCCUCCACAAGUACUCUGACCAGAGGGAUCGUCUGAAGAGCGCGCAAAGGAAGGCUCUAGAUGUCCUGAACACCGUUGGCCUGUCAAACUCGGUCUUGAAGCUUAUCGAAAAGCGGCACCGAGUCGACAAGCGGAUCGCGUACGGCGGCAUGAUCAUCACGGUCGUGCUGAUGGUUGCGUUUUGGCGAUGGACACACUAG